rnacentral:rRNA from 1 species
GACGAACGCUGGCGGCGUGCUUAACACAUGCAAGUCGAGCGGGUAAGGCCCUUUCGGGGGUACACGAGCGGCGAACGGGUGAGUAACACGUGGGUGACCUGCCCUCAGCUCUGGGAUAAGCCCUGGGAAACCGGGUCGUAAUACUGGAUAUGACUCCAUGACGCAUGUUGUGGGGUGGAAAGCCUUGUGUCGGCUGAGGAUGGGCCCGCGGCCUAUCAGCUUGUUGGUGGGGUGAUGGCCUACCAAGGCGACGACGGGUAGCCGG